AGUGCGGAAGUCAUGUUACGCGAUUUUCUGUGCUUUAUCUCAAGUAUUAAUUGUGUUAAUUAGUGCAUUUUCGUAAAGUAUUUUUUACCGAUAAUUUAGAUUUAGACAAUAUUUCGGUGGCAGAAGUGUUUUCUUUUUUUCAAUGGGAUUUUCCAGCGGAAACUUCACAGAGAUUUCUUGGUCAAACUGGGCGAAUGACGAUUUUGAAGGCAGGAGUCCAGAAAGGGCAAUUCGGAAGAUAACUCAGGAAAUGUUCAAGCUUCAUCAUCAACGAAAUUGAAAAACACGAGAUUUCUACCAUUAUUAUCAUCAUUUUCAACCGAUUAUUCCUUUGGGGUCGUGAAAAUAUUGAUCAAGAUGAGGAAAAUUUAUGGCCUAAGAAAAAUAUCCAGCCGUGAGAACAAGUGGAAAAGAGACGGAAAGCCACAUUUCAACUGCGAUGUUCAAUGAGGGAAAAAAUUUGUUUUCUUUGGUAUAUUGGGAAAAUCCAGGUAAAUUAUU